AAUAAAAUAAGGGCUUCUUCAAUCGAUGCCCGAGGCGACAGGUAGGCGCAAAUAACAUGAUAAACCUAAGUAAACUGUUUUUUUUGGCUGUUCUUUCACAACUCCAGGUGAUCUGUAUCACUCUUCCUUGUUCAUCUUCAUAAGAAGCUUGUAAUGGAAGUGGUGGUGAUGAGAUUGUGAUGGACGUGCUGCUACCUGAGGUGAAGAAGAAGAAGAGAAAGAAGAAAAGGAAUUAACCUGGGACUAUCCUUGGGACAUCAAGAGGUGGCAUCAUACCACGAAGAUAGUUGACAGCAUUCAAGACCGGGGCAUUAACCAGGAGCACGCAUGUGAGGCACGCAAAGAAGCUGUUGUUAGGGGCAAGGGAUUCAAUUGUUAACAUCAGAUGUCAUAUGCGCAAGAUGGGAGAUGAAGCUGUGACCGGUAAGCACUGCAAAUAGAAGAAAUAGUCGGGGAAGAACAAAGGAAACUGAUUAUCCUAGUACACACAAGAGAAAAAUAUUUUCAACUUAAGAAUGAAGUUAUUCUACAUUCCAGAGACUAAUUUUACUACAAAUCUACUUCUGAACAAAUAACCGCUGCAGUAUGUAUAUUUCAGAGGUUGAAAACAAUUUGACCAGUACUGAGUUUUGUAGUAUGUAAAUCUAGAAGCAAAAGCACAAUCAGAAUGGAA